UAGGGAAUUUUCGUCAAUGGGCGCAAGCCUGAACGAGCAAUGCCGCGUGAGUGAGGAAGGUCUUCGGAUCGUAAAGCUCUGUUGCGGGGGAAAAAGGAAGCAGAAAGGAAAUGGUCUUCUUUUGAUGGUACCCCGCCAGAAAGUCACGGCUAACUACGUGCC
rnacentral:rRNA from 1 species